rnacentral:rRNA from 1 species
UACAGAGGUCCCAAGCGUUGUUCGGAUUCAUUGGGCGUAAAGGGUGCGUAGGCGGCGCGGUAAGUCGGGUGUGAAAUCUCGGAGCUUAACUCCGAAACUGCAUUCGAUACUGCCGUGCUUGAGGACUGGAGAGGGGACUGGAAUUUACGGUGUAGCGGUGAAAUGCGUAGAUAUCGUAAGGAAGACCAGUGGCGAAGGCGGGUCUCUGGGCAGUAACUGACGCUGAGGAGCGAAAGCGUGGGGAGCGAACAGG